CAGUCGCCGCGGGAACACAGAGGGUGCAAGCGUUAAUCGGAAUUACUGGGCGUAAAGCGCGCGUAGGUGGUUUGUUAAGUUGGAUGUGAAAGCCCCGGGCUCAACCUGGGAACUGCAUCCAAAACUGGCAAGCUAGAGUACGGUAGAGGGUGGUGGAAUUUCCUGUGUAGCGGUGAAAUGCGUAGAUAUAGGAAGGAACACCAGUGGCGAAGGCGACCACCUGGACUGAUACUGACACUGAGGUGCGAAAGCGUGGGGAGCAAACAGGAUUAGAUACCCGCGUAGUCCCUGUCUCUUAUAC
rnacentral:rRNA from 1 species